rnacentral:rRNA from 1 species
UACAGAGGGUGCGAGCGUUAAUCGGAAUUACUGGGCGUAAAGCGCGCGUAGGCGGCUUUUCAAGUCGAUUGUGAAAUCCCCCGGGCUCAACCCGGGAACUGCGUCCGAUACUGGAAGGCUUGAAUCCGGGAGAGGGAUGCGGAAUUCCAGGUGUAGCGGUGAAAUGCGUAGAUAUCUGGAGGAACACCGGUGGCGAAGGCGGCAUCCUGGACCGGUAUUGACGCUGAGGCGCGAAAGCCAGGGGAGCAAACGGG